ACGAACGCUGGCGGCGUGCUUAACACAUGCAAGUCGAGCGGAAAGGCCCUUCGGGGUACUCGAGCGGCGAACGGGUGAGUAACACGUGAGUAAUCUGCCCUUGGCUUUGGGAUAACUACCGGAAACGGUGGCUAAUACCGGAUACGACAACCGUCUGCAUGGGCUGGUUGUGGAAAGUUUUUUCGGCCAGGGAUGUGCUCGCGGCCUAUCAGCUUGUUGGUGGGGUAAUGGCCUACCAAGGCUUCGACGGGUAGCCGGCCUGAGAGGGUGACCGGCCACACUGGGACUGAGACACGGCCCAGACUCCUACGGGAGGCAGCAGUGGGGAAUAUUGGACAAUGGGCGGAAGCCUGAUCCAGCAACGCCGCGUGAGGGAUGACGGCCGUCGGGUUGUAAACCUCUUUCAGUACCGACGAAGCGCCGAUGAUGGUGGUGACGGUAGGUACAGAAGAAGCACCGGCCAACUACGUG
rnacentral:rRNA from 1 species